UUAAUCAUUGAUACUAAUUUCAAUGCAGUUUUAUGUUUUUACUUAGGUACCUUAUCUGUAGAGAACGCGUUGAAAUCAUUGCCCUCUAGUGAAAACAGUUUACCGCACUCACCAUCUGGACAACACGCGAAGGGUAUAAUUUUCCGGCCGAGACGGUGGCCUUUGGAACCCGAUCUUUUUGUUGACACCGACAUUGCAUAUAAAAUAUACAAUACACCAUCGUU